rnacentral:rRNA from 1 species
UAGAGUUUGAUCCUGGCUCAGGACGAACGCUGGCGGCGUGCCUAACACAUGCAAGUCGAGUGAGGGACUUCGGUCCCUAGCGGCGGACGGGUGAGUAACACGUGGGUAACCUGCCUCAUAGAGGGGGAUAGCCUCCCGAAAGGGAGAUUAAUACCGCAUAACAUCAUGCUAACGCAUGUUAGUGUGAUCAAAGGAGCAAUCCGCUAUGAGAUGGACCCGCGGCGCAUUAGCUAGUUGGUGAGGUAACGGCUCACCAAGGCGACGAUGCGUAGCCGACCUGAGAGGGUGAUCGGCCACAUUGGAACUGAGACACGGUCCAGACUCCUACGGGAGGCAGCAGUGGGGAAUAUUGCACAAUGGGCGAAAGCCUGAUGCAGCAACGCCGCGUGAGUGAAGAAGGCCUUCGGGUUGUAAAGCUCUGUCUUUUGGGACGAUAAUGACGGUACCAAAGGAGGAAGCCACGGCUAACUACGUGCCAGCAGCCGCGGUAAUACGUAGGUGGCAAGCGUUGUCCGGAUUUACUGGGCGUAAAGGAUGCGUAGGUGGAUAUUUAAGUGGGAUGUGAAAUACCCGGGCUCAACUUGGGUGCUGCAUUCCAAACUGGAUAUCUAGAGUGCAGGAGAGGAAAGUGGAAUUCCUAGUGUAGCAGUGAAAUGCGUAGAUAUUAGGAGGAACACCAGUGGCGAAGGCGGCUUUCUGGACUGUAACUGACACUGAGGCAUGAAAGCGUGNGGAGCAAACAGGAUUAGAUACCCUGGUAGUCCACGCC